AUUUCAUUAAUCAGGAAGUGUUCCUAUAUGCUGUCAUAUAUUACACAUAUACAGUAUAUAUACAUACCCCCACACAUCUCAACACAAGGUAUUUUGAUAAUUUUCAAGCAUUUCAAAGGAAACAGCAGCAGCAUUUUCUCAAAAGUAGAGAUCGGAUGAUGCAACAAGCUGAUUCAAUUUGGAAUGGAAAAAGAAAUCACGUUUCAAAGUGGAUAACAUCAUUCUGUAAACUCUCUUUUAUUUCAACACUUCAUGUGGUGAAUACAUCCGAACAAUGCAAUCAUAGCCCGUGAAGACAGAUAUCAGCAGGCUCAGGGCAAGGCUCCACUGAAGGUCACUAUGGGCAGACAGAGGAGGGAGCAGAAUUUCGGGUGCAGUGGCUGAAUUUGAGCCGACAUCUCGGCCCGUCGCUGCCUCCAGUCUGAGGAGCUGUCAGUGUGACCCAACUCAAGUGAAUGGACGAACACCUCUGUCCGUCUCUCUCCACUGGCAAAUGUCAACUACAACAGAAUCAAUGCAACAGAGCUCAGAUGCAAAAACAGGCACCUCGUUUUUAUGUGAGGAUUUGCUGCAAGAGGAUGAUGGAGUUGUCAGGGUCCCUCUUGACCAGCUCCUCUAGGCUCCACCGGUUCAUUGACUGGCCAACGGAGCACAUCAGCACUAGAAUGUGAUAUGCACUUAAUAUUGGAGGCAGGUAUGGGUAAAGAGUAAUUUAAAAUUGUAAUUUGAAAAUGUUUUGGGGUGUUUUUUUGUGUUUGUGUGUGUGUGUGUGUGGGGGGGGGGGGUAUUACUUGGAAGAAAAUGAUGAUUGAAACAUGUUUUUCCUUUGUCCAAUAUCCCGAUAAUAUCUAGAUUGAAUAGAGUUUGUGCAUUUAAACAGUAUUUACCUAAUUGGAGGCAUAUCCAGGUGCGAUUGUAGGUACUGAGUUGUUACUUCUACAAAAAGCCACAGUCUACCUUGGAAGCCCUUUUGACGUGUAGCACAGGAAACUUUCCUGUAUGAUAUCUCCCCACGCACCCACACAAGCUUUUUGUCAUUGCCACCACUUCCCCCAGAUGUCAGGCAAUGUAACUUCCCCAAGCACCCACUGACACAUAUAAACCUGAAGUCAUAGUGUUGACAAGUUGUCAUACUUACAAACCAUACAUCAUUAUUAACCCUUAGAUACAUAAGUGGAGUCCAACAAUGACCUCAAGGGUUGUUAUUUUUCAAAAUCUUUGAAAUUAAAAGUAUUUGGAUUUUCAUAUUCCAGGAGUUCCUCAUAAAACAUGAUUGUAACUUGAGGCCAUUGCACACAAAAAAUGAUACAUUUUAGGAAAUUGCAGUUUUUGUAUCACUAUGCCACUUUUCAAUAAGUGAAAAAUUACCCCAAACCUUUCCAAUGGAAUCUCAAGAGUGAGCACUAGGAACCUUUGAUUCUUAUCAACUGUAACCGUCAGUAUACAUUUACUAUCACACUUACAUAUCUGAUGCCAACAGUCUCACCGCCCAGGGAUCAUUUUUACACAGCAACAUACAGUGGGGCAAAUCAAGUAUUUAGUCAGCCACCAAUUGUGCAAGUUCUCCUACUUGAAAAGAUUAGAGAGGCCAGUAAUUGUCAACAUGGGUAAACCUCAACCAUGAGGGACAGAAUGUGUGUGUG